rnacentral:lncRNA from 1 species
AUAAUCUUUUUCUCUGAGAUAAUGAUCCAGUCUGAUUAAGCCUGUAGUUAGAGAUUAGUUUCGUUACUAAUAACAGUUGUGUUUCUGCUCUAAUGAAGAAGACACAGAUGAUUCAUCUGACAAGGAUUCUUCAGACACAGAUGAGCAGCAGGACUCUGAUGAUUCUGCAGAUUCUGACAAAGACAAAACAGAUGGAAACUUAGAUGAAAAGAGUGGCGAGAAAAAGGAGAAAGACACCAGUAAUGACUCCAGUAAAGACUCAGAAGACGAGGGUCGAGAAAGCUCUGAGACGCCAGACAAAAGCGACACAGACAGCGACUCAGACACUGAUGAGCUGAAAGUUUCAGACGACUCCAAAGACCAGGAUUCAGAAUCAAAAGACACCGACAGCAAGGAGAAGAAAGAGAAAGACCAGGACUCUGACAGCGACGCAGACACCAGCAGCGAUCAAGACAAAGCAGAUUCCCCUGAUGCAGCAGACGCCAAGGACAGCGCCGAGGAUAAAGACAAGGACAGCAGCGACCCGAAAGACACCGAAGAUGAUAGAGACAGUGAGAAGGAUGCCAAAAAGAAGGAGGACACCAAUGAGACGGGCAGCGAUAGCGAUGAGGGAAAAGAUAAGGAGGACGAAUCCAAACCAGACGAACAGGACAAGGAAGACACCACCUCAAAAGAAGACGCCACAGACAGUCAGUCUGAUGAAAGUCCACUGGAGGAAAUGAAAGAAGACAAGCAGGAAGACAAACCUGAGUCUGACAGCUCCAGUCUGGACUCAAAUUCAGACUCGGACACUGACAGUAAAGAUAAAGAGCAGGACAAAGAGAAGAAGAGAACAGAGUCCACAGACACAGAAAGCUCUGAUAGCGACACAGACAGCUCAGAAACAGGAGGGAAGGAUACUGAUGAAGACAAUGACUCCAGUCAUGGAAAAGGAGUAAACAAGAGUCUCCUGAUGGUGCAUCAAUAGAGACAAAUGAAUCUGACUCCAGCGAUGACCAUGACAAUCACUCGACAGAUGUUACAACAUCAAACGGUAAAUAUGAGCUCAGUUAUGUAAGGAUAAAGUGAUGCCUUUGUCAUGUAAAAACAUUAAAUGUAUGUUCUUUCAAUUUCUUGCCAUCUCUAGAGGAACACACUGAUGCAGACAGCCAUGAUGCUGCAGACGGUACAUUCAUAGCACUUAAUUUUGAGUUAUCAUCAGCUUUACUACUGCUUUUGAACACACCCUAAGUAUUAUAUUUUUGGGACACAACUCAUGCCAUUUGUGCUAAAGACAUGAAUGAUUGUAAAAGUAGUUGUUACCUGUUACUCUCUGAUUGGGCUGAAUUCUCAAAGAAUUCUAGGAAAUUGUGAAUUGAAAGCUGCCUCAAUUCUUUCCCAUGCUUCUUUCUGUUUAGAUGAUGACGACACUGACGCCCAUGAUGAUGAAGUCAGGGUUGGAGAUGGCAUAGGUAAGUCACUCACUCAUUUGCCUCCUCACAUCAUAGUUGUCUCAGAUUUUUCUCCCAAAAUUCCUUAUGAGACACAAAUGAAACAGAUACAGUAAGUGAUACAGUAAGAGUAUAGAUCUGGCACUAGCAAUGCGUGUCUGCCAGGUGCACACAUGUACAUCAUUUUGUUUCAAAUACAUUUUGUUUGAUUUCAUACUUAAAACUGUGACUUCUGAUUUAAAGAACAAUGAUAACACUUGUCACAUCCAUUUUUUUGUUUUUUUUUUGUUUUUUACAGACACUGCUUCUAAAAAACACGAUGAACCAGAUCAUCUUGAUGACACAACACAAGGUAAUGAAUGAUUCUGCUUAAAACACUUAACUUUUCAGGGAAUGGGAGUUCAAAGGAGAACUUUACACAUGCUAAUAUCUGUUUCUCCCUUUCUUCAGGAUCAGAUGAUGGCAGCAAAACCCCUAUGCCAAGCUCCUAGCGACCAGGACUCUACAAAAAC